rnacentral:rRNA from 1 species
UACAGGGGGUGCAAACGUUGCUCGGAAUUAUUGGGCGUAAAGCGCGCGUAGGCGGCUACUUAAGUCGGAUGUGAAAGCCCCCUGGCUCAACUGGGGAAGUGCACCCGAAACUGAGUGGCUUGAGUGCGAAAGAGGGUCGCGGAAUUCCCGGUGUAGAGGUGAAAUUCGUAGAUAUCGGGAGGAACACCGGUGGCGAAGGCGGCGACCUGGGUCGACACUGACGCUGAGGCGCGAAAGCGUGGGGAGCGAACAGG